rnacentral:rRNA from 1 species
CACAAGCGGUGGAGCAUGUGGUUUAAUUCGACGCAACGCGAAGAACCUUACCAGGUCUUGACAUCCCCUGACAACCCGAGAGAUCGGGCGUUCCCCUUCGGGGGACAGGGUGACAGGUGGUGCAUGGUUGUCGUCAGCUCGUGUCGUGAGAUGUUGGGUUAAGUCCCGCAACGAGCGCAACCCUCGACCUUAGUUGCCAGCAUUCAGUUGGGCACUCUAAGGUGACUGCCGGCUAAAAGUCGGAGGAAGGUGGGGAUGACGUCAAAUCAUCAUGCCCCUUAUGACCUGGGCUACACACGUGCUACAAUGGGCGGUACAAAGGGUCGCGAACCCGCGAGGGGGAGCCAAUCCCAAAAAGCCGCUCUCAGUUCGGAUUGCAGGCUGCAACUCGCCUGCAUGAAGCCGGAAUCGCUAGUAAUCGCGGAUCAGCAUGCCGCGGUGAAUACGUUCCCGGGCCUU